rnacentral:rRNA from 1 species
GGGUUGUGAGGUUAAGCGACUAAGCGUACACGGUGGAUGCCCUGGCAGUCAGAGGCGAUGAAGGACGUGCUAAUCUGCGAUAAGCGUCGGUGAGGUGAUAUGAACCGUUAUAACCGGCGAUUUCCGAAUGGGGAAACCCAGUGUGUUUCGACACACUAUCAUUAACUGAAUCCAUAGGUUAAUGAGGCGAACCGGGGGAACUGAAACAUCUAAGUACCCCGAGGAAAAGAAAUCAACCGAGAUUCCCCCAGUAGCGGCGAGCGAACGGGGAGGAGCCCAGAGCCUGAAUCAGUGUGUGUGUUAGUGGAAGCGUCUGGAAAGGCGCGCGAUACAGGGUGACAGCCCCGUACACAAAAAUGCACAUAUUGUGAGCUCGAUGAGUAGGGCGGGACACGUGGUAUCCUGUCUGAAUAUGGGGGGACCAUCCUCCAAGGCUAAAUACUCCUGACUGACCGAUAGUGAACCAGUACCGUGAGGGAAAGGCGAAAAGAACCCCGGCGAGGGGAGUGAAAAAGAACCUGAAACCGUGUACGUACAAGCAGUGGGAGCCUCUUAAUGGGGUGACUGCGUACCUUUUGUAUAAUGGGUCAGCGACUUAUAUUCUGUAGCAAGGUUAACCGAAUAGGGGAGCCGAAGGGAAACCGAGUCUUAACUGGGCGUUAAGUUGCAGGGUAUAGACCCGAAACCCGGUGAUCUAGCCAUGGGCAGGUUGAAGGUUGGGUAACACUAACUGGAGGACCGAACCGACUAAUGUUGAAAAAUUAGCGGAUGACUUGUGGCUGGGGGUGAAAGGCCAAUCAAACCGGGAGAUAGCUGGUUCUCCCCGAAAGCUAUUUAGGUAGCGCCUCGUGAAUUCAUCUCCGGGGGUAGAGCACUGUUUCGGCAAGGGGGUCAUCCCGACUUACCAACCCGAUGCAAACUGCGAAUACCGGAGAAUGUUAUCACGGGAGACACACGGCGGGUGCUAACGUCCGUCGUGAAGAGGGAAACAACCCAGACCGCCAGCUAAGGUCCCAAAGUCAUGGUUAAGUGGGAAACGAUGUGGGAAGGCCCAGACAGCCAGGAUGUUGGCUUAGAAGCAGCCAUCAUUUAAAGAAAGCGUAAUAGCUCACUGGUCGAGUCGGCCUGCGCGGAAGAUGUAACGGGGCUAAACCAUG